rnacentral:lncRNA from 10 species
AUGUGGGGGCCGUGGGGCUGCUCCUCACGCCCCUUCCAUUUCCAUUCCCCUCUCCUUCCCUGCCAGGUUGUUCUGCAGAUGAUGUUUAAUACUCUGGUAAACAGCUCCUGGGGGGACUUGGUCGAGUUGCACGCCAAUGUGACCUGUAACAAUGAGGACUCAGGCCUCCUGAAGGACAACUCGGCCACUACCAGCAUCCCCGUCCUGUACCCCAUCAACGUCCUCAUCCAGGAGUAAGUCCUUCCCAGCAGAUAGCCAAACCUCUCCUCCCACCGCAGCCUCCCAACCCAGGGCCCCGACUUUGCCCCCUGGGGCUCCCCUUCUGAACCUCCUUCCUUUCCCAGAGCCCCCUGGGGUAAUUAGAACUGAUUCCAGCCACAGCCCCAACAGUUUUCCACGUUCCAAAAUGUGAGGGCCCUGGAAGAGUUCGGGGAAGGAUCAGCAUUUACUGAUGGAAGAAAAGGCUCAUUGAACACUGAUCUUAUAUCAGACUGAGGGCCGGCUGCACUGCGCGGUUGCUGACAUUGCCUGGAGCCCUCAGCACCUCUGUGAGGCAGCUGUGCCUCUCUCCGUUUUACCAAUGAACAAGCUGAGGCUCAGAGAAGGCCAGCACUUACCCGAGGUCCAAUAGCUGGAAGUACUAAAGCCAGGGUCUGAGCUUCAGCCUGUCUGACUCCAAAUGCCCAGCCAAACUCCUGACUGUUUCGGUCACCUAGAUUCUCUCCCCUCCUGGGGGCUGAUAAUGUCAGGAGAGACAGGAGAAAAGUUAUCACAAUACCUCUUGCCCUCAGGGAGCUUACAGUCAAGUUGGAGAGACCAAACUCAUGCACACACAUAGUCAGUGACUCUCAGAACGCAGUAGCAGGAAGGAACCAUGGGGAUCACUAGUUGGGUUUGUAACUGAACCAUGGUCUGGCUGCUUGUUACUUGAAAGCCAGACUUAAGAGGCAAGAGUUGGUGGGAGGAAAGGCAGGUUUAUCUGGAAAGCCAGGCAAUUGAGAAGAUAGUGAACUAGUGUUCUAAAGGACCAUCUUUAAUGUUAAGGGUAGGGGGAAGAGAAAGAGGUUGAGAUCAAGAGGUAACUUAGCAGCACAGACAUCCGGGCACCAGAGAUGAUACAAGGAGGUUGGGAACUUCUUGGUCCUUGGUCAGGUCACAGUGCUUC